rnacentral:rRNA from 1 species
GGUUAAGCGACUAAGCGUACACGGUGGAUGCCCUGGCAGUCAGAGGCGAUGAAGGACGUGCUAAUCUGCGAUAAGCGCCGGUAAGGUGAUAUGAACCGUUAUAACCGGCGAUUUCCGAAUGGGGAAACCCAGUGUGACUCGUCACACUAUCAUUAACUGAAUCCAUAGGUUAAUGAGGCGAACCGGGGGAACUGAAACAUCUAAGUACCCCGAGGAAAAGAAAUCAACCGAGAUUCCCCCAGUAGCGGCGAGCGAACGGGGAGGAGCCCAGAGCCUGAAUCAGCAUGUGUGUUAGUGGAAGCGUCUGGAAAGGCGCGCGAUACAGGGUGACAGCCCCGUACACAAAAGCGCAUAUGCUGUGAGCUCGAUGAGUAGGGCGGGACACGUGGUAUCCUGUCUGAAUAUGGGGGGACCAUCCUCCAAGGCUAAAUACUCCUGACUGACCGAUAGUGAACCAGUACCGUGAGGGAAAGGCGAAAAGAACCCCGGCGAGGGGAGUGAAAAAGAACCUGAAACCGUGUACGUACAAGCAGUGGGAGCACCCUUUGGGGUGUGACUGCGUACCUUUUGUAUAAUGGGUCAGCGACUUAUAUUCUGUAGCAAGGUUAACCGAAUAGGGGAGCCGGAGGGAAACCGAGUCUUAAUUGGGCGUUAAGUUGCAGGGUAUAGACCCGAAACCCGGUGAUCUAGCCAUGGGCAGGUUGAAGGUUGGGUAACACUAACUGGAGGACCGAACCGACUAAUGUUGAAAAAUUAGCGGAUGACCUGUGGCUGGGGGUGAAAGGCCAAUCAAACCGGGAGAUAGCUGGUUCUCCCCGAAAGCUAUUUAGGUAGCGCCUCGUGAAUUCAUCUCCGGGGGUAGAGCACUGUUUCGGCUAGGGGGCCAUCCCGGCUUACCAACCCGAUGCAAACUGCGAAUACCGGAGAAUGUUAUCACGGGAGACACACGGCGGGUGCUAACGUCCGUCGUGAAGAGGGAAACAACCCAGACCGCCAGCUAAGGUCCCAAAGUCAUGGUUAAGUGGGAAACGAUGUGGGAAGGCCCAGACAGCCAGGAUGUUGGCUUAGAAGCAGCCAUCAUUUAAAGAAAGCGUAAUAGCUCACUGGUCGAGUCGGCCUGCGCGGAAGAUGUAACGGGGCUAAACCAUGCACCGAAGCUGCGGCAGCGACGCUGAUGCGUUGUUGGGUAGGGGAGCGUUCUGUAAGCCUGUGAAGGUGGCCUGUGAGGGUUGCUGGAGGUAUCAGAAGUGCGAAUGCUGACAUAAGUAACGAUAAAGCGGGUGAAAAGCCCGCUCGCCGGAAGACCAAGGGUUCCUGUCCAACGUUAAUCGGGGCAGGGUGAGUCGACCCCUAAGGCGAGGCCGAAAGGCGUAGUCGAUGGGAAACGGGUUAAUAUUCCCGUACUUGGUGUUACUGCGAAGGGGGGACGGAGAAGGCUAUGUUGGCCGGGCGACGGUU